rnacentral:rRNA from 1 species
GACAGAGGUGCCAAGCGUUAGGCGGAAUCACCGUGGCUUAAAGCGUGUGUAGGCGGAUCGUUAAGUACCUUGUGAAAUCCCACGGCUCAACCGUGGAACUGCUCGGUAUACUGGCGAUCUUGAGCCACCUAGGGGCAACUGGAACAAGCGGUGGAGCGGUGAAAUGCGUAGAUAUCAUUUGGAACGCCAAUGGUGAAAACAGGUUGCUGGGAGUGUGCUGACGCUGAGACACGAAAGCCAGGGGAGCGAACGGG